rnacentral:rRNA from 1 species
GAAUGCUGACAUAAGUAACGAUAAAGCGGGUGAAAAGCCCGCUCGCCGGAAGACCAAGGGUUCCUGUCCAACGUUAAUCGGGGCAGGGUGAGUCGACCCCUAAGGCGAGGCCGAAAGGCGUAGUCGAUGGGAAACAGGUUAAUAUUCCUGUACUUGGUGUUACUGCGAAGGGGGGACGGAGAAGGCUAUGUUGGCCGGGCGACGGUUGUCCCGGUUUAAGCGUGUAGGCUGGUUUUCCAGGCAAAUCCGGAAAAUCAAGGCUGAGGCGUGAUGACGAGGCACUACGGUGCUGAAGCGACAAAUGCCCUGCUUCCAGGAAAAGCCUCUAAGCAUCAGGUAACAUCAAAUCGUACCCCAAACCGACACAGGUGGUCAGGUAGAGAAUACCAAGGCGCUUGAGAGAACUCGGGUGAAGGAACUAGGCAAAAUGGUGCCGUAACUUCGGGAGAAGGCACGCUGAUAUGUAGGUGAAGCGACUUGCUCGUGGAGCUGAAAUCAGUCGAAGAUACCAGCUGGCUGCAACUGUUUAUUAAAAACACAGCACUGUGCAAACACGAAAGUGGACGUAUACGGUGUGACGCCUGCCCGGUGCCGGAAGGUUAAUUGAUGGGGUUAGCGGUAACGCGAAGCUCUUGAUCGAAGCCCCGGUAAACGGCGGCCGUAACUAUAACGGUCCUAAGGUAGCGAAAUUCCUUGUCGGGUAAGUUCCGACCUGCACGAAUGGCGUAAUGAUGGCCAGGCUGUCUCCACCCGAGACUCAGUGAAAUUGAACUCGCUGUGAAGAUGCAGUGUACCCGCGGCAAGACGGAAAGACCCCGUGAACCUUUACUAUAGCUUGACACUGAACAUUGAGCCUUGAUGUGUAGGAUAGGUGGGAGGCUUUGAAGUGUGGACGCCAGUCUGCAUGGAGCCGACCUUGAAAUACCACCCUUUAAUGUUUGAUGUUCUAACGUGGGCCCCUUACCGGGGUUGCGGACAGUGUCUGGUGGGUAGUUUGACUGGGGCGGUCUCCUCCUAAAGAGUAACGGAGGAGCACGAAGGUUGGCUAAUCCUGGUCGGACAUCAGGAGGUUAGUGCAAUGGCAUAAGCCAGCUUGACUGCGAGCGUGACGGCGCGAGCAGGUGCGAAAGCAGGUCAUAGUGAUCCGGUGGUUCUGAAUGGAAGGGCCAUCGCUCAACGGAUAAAAGGUACUCCGGGGAUAACAGGCUGAUACCGCCCAAGAGUUCAUAUCGACGGCGGUGUUUGGCACCUCGAUGUCGGCUCAUCACAUCCUGGGGCUGAAGUAGGUCCCAAGGGUAUGGCUGUUCGCCAUUUAAAGUGGUACGCGAGCUGGGUUUAGAACGUCGUGAGACAGUUCGGUCCCUAUCUGCCGUGGGCGCUGGAGAACUGAGGGGGGCUGCUCCUAGUACGAGAGGACCGGAGUGGACGCAUCACUGGUGUUCGGGUUGUCAUGCCAAUGGCACUGCCCGGUAGCUAAAUGCGGAAGAGAUAAGUGCUGAAAGCAUCUAAGCACGAAACUUGCCCCGAGAUGAGUUCUCCCUGACUCCUUGAGAGUCCUGAAGGAACGUUGAAGACGACGACGUUGAUAGGCCGGGUGUGUAAGCGCAGCGAUGCGUUGAGCUAACCGGUACUAAUGAACCGUGAGGCUUAACCUUA